CCUAGCCUCCCCCCCCCCCUUUUUUUUAUUAUAUAUCUCCCCUUUUUUUUUUGCCCAGUGAACGGUCGAAGGAAUUUUUUUUUUUGGCUUGGGGGGGCCAUCCCCUAGAAGGGGGGUUAUUCACCCUUUUGGUGGGGUUCCAUUUCCCACGGAACUCUUGGGGACACCCCCGCCCAUAAGCAUCCCUCCGACUAAAUUGGAAUCUGUGAGCGCGUCCGGGCCCGGCCCUAGAGAAGGUGGGGCAAUCCACCACUUCAGGGCCCCGAUAGCUCUCCCAAACUCCGGUCAUUUAGACGGAAGUAACAGUCGUAACAAGGUCUCCCGUGGUGAACCAGCGGAGGGAUCAUUACCGAGUUUACAACUCCCCAAACCCCAAUGUGAACGUUACCAAUCUGUUGCCUCGGCGGGAUUCUCUUGCCCCGGGCGCGUCGCAGCCCCGGAUCCCAUGGCGCCCGCCGGAGGACCAACUCCAAACUCUUUUUUUCUCUCCGUCGCGGCUCCCGUCGCGGCUCUGUUUUAUUUUUGCUCUGAGCCUUUCUCGGCGACCCUAGCGGGCGUCUCGAAAAUGAAUCAAAACUUUCAACAACGGAUCUCUUGGUUCUGGCAUCGAUGAAGAACGCAGCGAAAUGCGAUAAGUAAUGUGAAUUGCAGAAUUCAGUGAAUCAUCGAAUCUUUGAACGCACAUUGCGCCCGCCAGUAUUCUGGCGGGCAUGCCUGUCCGAGCGUCAUUUCAACCCUCGAACCCCUCCGGGGGGUCGGCGUUGGGGAUCGGCCCCUCACCGGGCCGCCCCCGAAAUACAGUGGCGGUCUCGCCGCAGCCUCUCCUGCGCAGUAGUUUGCACACUCGCACCGGGAGCGCGGCGCGGCCACAGCCGUAAAACACCCCAAACUUCUGAAAUGUUGACCUCGGAUCAGGUAGGAAUACCCGCUGAACUUAAGCAUAUCAAUAAGCGGAGGAAAAGAAACCAACAGGGAUUGCCCCAGUAACGGCGAGUGAAGCGGCAACAGCUCAAAUUUGAAAUCUGGCCCUUACGGGUCCGAGUUGUAAUUUGUAGAGGAUGCUUUUGGCAAGGCGCCGCCCGAGUUCCCUGGAACGGGACGCCACAGAGGGUGAGAGCCCCGUCUGGCUGGCCGCCGAGCCUCGUAAGUCCUCGAUGC
rnacentral:rRNA from 1 species